UACGUAGGGGGCAAGCGUUGUCCGGAUUUAUUGGGCGUAAAGAGCGUGUAGGCGGCCAGACAGGUCUUGUUGUAGAAACUGGAGCUCAACCUCCAGACGUCGAACGGAACCGUGUGGCUAGAGUCCGGAAGAGGAGAGUGGGAAUUCCUGGUGUAGCGGUGAAAUGCGCAGAUAUCAGGAAGAACACCCAUGGCGAAGGCGCUCUCUGGACGGUACUGACGCUGAGACGCGAAAGCGUGGGGAGCGAACAGG
rnacentral:rRNA from 1 species